ensembl:misc_RNA Metazoa_SRP Metazoan signal recognition particle RNA
GCCGGGUAUGGUGGUGCAUGCCUGUAGUCUCAGCUACUCAGGAGGCUGAGGUGGGAGGAUCGCUUGAGCCCAGGAAGAUUGCAGUGGGCUAUGACUGCACCACUGCACUCCAGCCUGGGCAACAGAGUAAGACCCUGUCUCAA